rnacentral:lncRNA from 1 species
GGCUUCUUUUUCUCAGAACUAGUAUAUAUUAUCGUGUAAGGAACAGCUUGUGCUUUCCUCCUGUCGUUGCGUUGGAGACUCUCUGGCGGCCGUAGUCUUCUUUCCGCUAUGCAGUUGGUUGUUUUGUCUUUGACACGUUUCCCGUUUCUAUUCUCUAUUCUAUUUUCAUUGUGUCUUGUACAUUCUAUCAGUGUCGGCAUAUGGAGUAUGCAUUGCUAAGUCGAUUACGUGGCUUUCUUGUAAAUGGUUUAUCUUUGGUUCAAAGUUAUGUAAUUUAAAUGUCACAUAUUAGAACGGAUAUCUACUUUUUGUUUUGUCUUUUAUCCUGUUGCUUUUCAAUGUUUGAUGACAACAUAACUUAUGAUUUAAAUUAGUAUGAG